UGGGACCCUGGCAGUGUAGAAAGACUC
rnacentral:piRNA from 1 species